rnacentral:sRNA from 1 species
UAUAAUCCAAGUCAACCCAAUACUUCAGAAGAGGUGACUAAUGUCAAGGCUUUGUAAUAACCAUUACAAACAAUGUUUUUUUACUUUUUGUUAUACGAGAUUUUUAAAGCUAAACAGGACUGAUUAUUAUGACUGGAUUGUAAGUGGGCCUGUGUUGCUACCAUAGUGUCUGAGCAGCAGGAGAGAGCCUUCACGCUGGGGCUAGCAGGACUUCUCGGCGAGGGAGUUUUUAACUUUGGAGAACUCGUAAGUUGACCCUGAGCUCAGCUUCCUUAACAAGAGAGAGACUAAAGUGUUACUAGCUGACCAUCUCCAUCCUCACAGCUCAUGCACCCUGUGCUGGAGUCCCUGAGGAAUACUGACCGGCAGUGGCUGAUUGACACCCUCUAUGCCUUCAACAGUGGCAACGUAGAGCGGUUCCAGACUCUGAAGACCGCCUGGGGCCAGCAGCCUGAUUUAGCAGCUAAUGAAGCCCAGCUUCUGAGGAAAAUUCAGUUGUUGUGCCUCAUGGAGAUGACUUUCACACGACCUGCCAAUCACAGACAACUCACUUUUGAAGAAAUUGCCAAAAGUGCUAAAAUCACAGUGAAUGAGGUGGAGCUUCUGGUGAUGAAGGCCCUUUCGGUGGGGCUGGUGAAAGGCAGUAUAGACGAGGUGGACAAACGAGUC